UACGGGGGGGGCAAGCGUUGUUCGGAAUUACUGGGCGUAAAGGGCUCGUAGGCGGCCAACUAAGUCAGACGUGAAAUCCCUCGGCUUAACCGGGGAACUGCGUCUGAUACUGGAUGGCUUGAGUGUAGGAGAGGGAUGCGGAAUUCCAGGUGUAGCGGUGAAAUGCGUAGAUAUCUGGAGGAACACCGGUGGCGAAGGCGGGUCUCUGGGCCGAUACUGACGCUGAGGAGCGAAAGCGUGGGGGAGCGAACAGG
rnacentral:rRNA from 1 species